GACGAACGCUGGCGGCGUGCUUAACACAUGCAAGUCGAACGGAAACGCCCGGGUUUGGGGGGGUGCGCGAGUGACGAACUGGUGAGUAACACGUGUGUAACGUGUCCUUGACUGUGAGUUAGGUUCAGGAAACAGGGGCCCAUACCGGAUAGGAGCUCCUGCUGCAGGGUUGGGGUUGGAAAGUUUCGGCGGUUGGGGAUGGACUCGCGGCUUAUCAGCUUGUUGGUGGGGUAGUGGCUUACCAAGGCUUUGACGGGUAGCCGGCCUGAGAGGGUGACCGGCCACAUUGGGACUGAGAUACGGCCCAGACUCCUACGGGAGGCAGCAGUGGGGAAUAUUGCACAAUGGGCGGAAGCCUGAUGCAGCAACGCCGCGUGCGGGAUGACGGCCUUCGGGUUGUAAACCGCUUUCGCCUGUGACGAAGCGUGAGUGACGGUAAUGGGUAAAGAAGCACCGGCUAACUACGUG
rnacentral:rRNA from 1 species